UUUUUUUCUGACAGACUGCCGGAAUGCCGCCAAAAGGCUGAUAACAUCGACUGAUUUCUAGUCUGGAUGUAGUCUGCAACGUCGGAGGUGUAUUUUGGAUCCUCUUCUUGUGAAUACCACAGAUAGUAUCGAUGAUAACAUCAACUGGUAAGUUAAUAAUGUAAUUUAGCCGAAGUUAACUAACUUAGUUGAACAAAGAGAAGCAUAGUAAGUUAUCUUCUCUACUCUGCCUCUUUAUCGCAAGUAAGGUAAUUCUCUUCAAAUGCUAUUUAAGUCAGAAAGUGUGUACCAAUGUCGUGUGUAACUUUAGAGACGGUCCCUAAAUUCAGUGACAGACGUAACGUUAACAUAAAACAGCGAGCUAACAACCUACUGAGGAAAACUGAGUGAAGAAACACUACUGUUAAGAACAUCUUUUGUAUUUUAUUUUAAAGUGUGUGGUCAUGUUGUCUGCAUCGG